rnacentral:rRNA from 1 species
ACUCCUACGGGAGGCAGCAGUGGGGAAUAUUGCACAAUGGGCGCAAGCCUGAUGCAGCCAUGCCGCGUGUAUGAAGAAGGCCUUCGGGUUGUAAAGUACUUUCAGCAGUGAGGAAGGUGGGUAUGUUAAUAGCAUACUCAUUUGACGUUAGCUGCAGAAGAAGCACCGGCUAACUCCGUGCCAGCAGCCGCGGUAAUACGGAGGGUGCGAGCGUUAAUCGGAAUUACUGGGCGUAAAGCGCAUGCAGGUGGUUGUUAAGUCAGAUGUGAAAGCCCGGGGCUCAACCUCGGAAUUGCAUUUGAAACUGGCAAACUAGAGUACUGUAGAGGGGGUAGAAUUUCAGGUGUAGCGGUGAAAUGCGUAGAGAUCGUGAAGGAUACCGGUGGCGAAGGCGGCCCCUGGACAGAUACUGACACUCAGAUGCGAAAGCGUGGGAGCAAACAGGAUUAGAUACCCGU